rnacentral:rRNA from 1 species
AAACUGGAGAGUUUGAUUCUGGCUCAGAACGAACGCUUGCGGCGCGCCUAAUACAUGCAAGUCGAACGAGAAAGUACCUUCGGGUACGAGUACAGUGGCGGACGGGUGAGGAACGCGUAGAUAACCUGCCCUCUAGCGGGGAAUAACUACUCGAAAGAGUAGCUAAUACCGCAUAAGACCACGACACCUGCGGGUGAUGAGGUUAAAGGCUUCGGCCACUAGAGGAUGGGUCUGCGUCCGAUUAGCUUGUUGGUGGGGU